CCUACGGGGGGCUGCAGUGGGGAAUAUUGGUCAAUGGGCGUAAGCCUGAACCAGCCAAGUCGCGUGAGGGAUGAAGGUUCUAUGGAUCGUAAACCUCUUUUAUAGGGGAAUAAAGUGUGGGACGUGUCCUAUUUUGUAUGUACCUUAUGCAUAAGGAUCGGCUAACUACGUGCCAGCAGCCGCGGUAAUACGGAGUAUCCGAGCGUUAUCCGGAUUUAUUGGGUUUAAAGGGUGCGUAGGCGGCCUUUUAAGGCAGCGGUGAAAGUCUGUGGCUCAACCAUAGAAUUGCCGUUGAAACUGGGGGGCUUGAGUAGGUGUGAGGCAGGCGGAAUGCGUGGUGUAGCGGUGAAAUGCUUAGAUAUCACGCAGAACCCCGAUGGCGAAGGCAGCCUGCCAAGCCAUGACUGACGCUGAUGCACGAAAGCGUGGGGAUCAAACAGGAUUAGAUACCCUUGUAGUC
rnacentral:rRNA from 1 species